UACAGAGGGUGCAAGCGUUAAUCGGAAUUACUGGGCGUAAAGCGUGCGCAGACGGUUGCGUAAGUCAGAUGUGAAAGCCCCGGGCUCAACCUGGGAAUUGCAUUUGAGACUGCGUAGCUAGGGUGCGGAAGAGGGAAGCGGAAUUUCCGGUGUAGCGGUGAAAUGCGUAGAUAUCAUUUGGAACGCCAAUGGUGAAAACAGCUCGCUGGGAAUGAUCUGACGCUGAGACGCGAAAGCCAGGGGAGCGAACGGG
rnacentral:rRNA from 1 species